rnacentral:rRNA from 1 species
GACAGAGGAUGCAAGCGUUAUCCGGAAUGAUUGGGCGUAAAGCGUCUGUAGGUGGCUUUUCAAGUCCGCCGUCAAAUCCCAGGGCUCAACCCUGGACAGGCGGUGGAAACUACCAAGCUGGAGUACGGUAGGGGCAGAGGGAAUUUCCGGUGGAGCGGUGAAAUGCAUAGAUAUCGGGAAGAACACCAACGGCGAAAGCACUCCGCUGGGCUGAUACUGACACUGACAGACGAAAGCUAGGGUAGCGAAUGGG